AGUGAACGCUGGCGGUAGGCCUAACACAUGCAAGUCGAACGGCAGCACAGUAAGAGCUUGCUCUUACGGGUGGCGAGUGGCGGACGGGUGAGGAAUACAUCGGAAUCUACUUUUUCGUGGGGGAUAACGUAGGGAAACUUACGCUAAUACCGCAUACGACCUACGGGUGAAAGCAGGGGAUCUUCGGACCUUGCGCGAUUGAAUGAGCCGAUGUCGGAUUAGCUAGUUGGCGGGGUAAAGGCCCACCAAGGCGACGAUCCGUAGCUGGUCUGAGAGGAUGAUCAGCCACACUGGAACUGAGACACGGUCCAGACUCCGACGGGAGGCAGCAGUGGGGAAUAUUGGACAAUGGGCGAAAGCCUGAUCCAGCCAUACCGCGUGGGUGAAGAAGGCCUUCGGGUUGUAGAGCCCUUUUGUUGGGAAAGAAAAGCAGCAGGUUAAUACCCCGCUGUUCUGACGGUACCCAAAGAAUAAGCACCGGCUAACUUCGUG
rnacentral:rRNA from 1 species